GUGAUGGAAGGUGUUUAUUGAAAUGAUUCAUAAUCAAUGACGUGUGAUGAUUCAUAAACAAUGACGACUAUUAAUGAUAUUACUUUUUGUUCUAUGCGAUGAUAAUGUGUACUGUGACCAUUCUACCCUCAGUGAGCUUUUUUUGAAAUGCUGAGUAAGAGUUUUCUCUAUCUGGCUAUGUGUAUGUGUUAAGGAAUGCACGUCACAGUUGUUCUACAAAUUCUGGCGCCAGGGUCAUCUUCCUUUCUGCUUGCAAUGUUUUGAGAACCAGCCUGAUAUGCUCACUAAGGGAUUAUGUCAUAUCACAUGUCAGAAGAAGUUGACGUGUCACAAUGGUGGCACUGUGCCCAUAAUUGGGAAGUAAGGGAUGGGAGGAUCUAAAAGGUAUAAAGAGAGCUUGGCACCUCUUGCAAGGCAGGAGAUCACUCUGUAUUCACAUGUGUGUCUUCUCAAUAAAUCUUGUUACUCAUUCUGAUCAAGACUCAGAGACUCUGAAUAUUUCUUUCUUCCUGUCAUUAUUUUUCCACCACAAUUUGGCGUCACGGAACAGGAUGAGCAUGGUCUUGCGGCGGAGGGGGAGAGACUAGCACCUGCCGAGGACGCUCUCCAGCAAAACAGCUGGGCCCAAGAAGCAAGGGAAAAAUUCCACAGAAAAAAGGACAAGUACCGCGGGGGUAAGUGCGGCCUCUCCCCCCCAUUCGCAAAUCCAGGCCUCAUCGACAAACAUUGGUGGUGAGUGACAGGUUAACUAAUUUACUCAUUAAGGAAAUUUUAAAUGUAAACAAUUGUUCUUAAAUUAAUUUACUCCCCUCCAUCCUUCCUUCAGCACUCCGCCCUGGACAGUGAAUAGUUACAUGACGGUGUACAAGACUAGCCUGGUCAUAGCGAGGCCUUUAUUGAUGUAUGUAAAUAUAUCUUUGAAGUUAAAGAGAAGACUAGCCUGGUCAUAGCGAGGCCUCUAUUGAUAGACGUGUCAUUAGAGUAAUAGGUCCCGGGACCGUGGGGAGGAGUGCAUAAAAUAAUACUAAUAGUACAGGGUACUGAUUGUGUAUUAAGCAGGGAUAGAAGAAGGAAGGUGAGACGUGAUUAUUGGGGCUAAAUUACUCUGAGUCAUUAAAAUCGAAUGAGAGAACAAAAAUGGGAUCCCAAGUAACUAAAGAAUUGAAAUUUAAUCCAAAAAUUCAUGACACAGCUCUUUUCAAUCAAAUGAGCCAAGACUAUAUGUGUAUGUCUGUGUGUGUGUGUGUUUAUGUAGUGUUGUUCAAAGGUUUGGAAUCAUUAGCAUAUUAACCCAAUAUACAUAUAUUAAAGUAGGGCAGAAUAUUGAGCCAUGCUGGAACUGUUCAAUGUAACAUGUUUCAUUAUCUUUAUGGAAAAUGCUGUAGAAUUCUGAGGAUGGCAGUUUAGUGAAUAUGUGAGACUGCUUCAUGUUUAAAUAGUAGUGAUGAGUUAUGUACAAAUGUCCACAUUGUGAAAGUCAUCCCUGAUUGAAACAGAAAAGAGAUGAGGAUUCCAGGCUUUUGAUACAAUGUGUGUGUGUGUGUUUCUGCGUGUGUUGAAUAAAGCAGUGAGAGAGAUAGACAAAACAUCUCUUCUCUGCUAUCUUCUAUCACAUUUGGUGUGUGUGUGUGUGUGUGUGUGUCUGUGCGUGUGUGUAAGUGUGUAUGUUUCUAACAUUUGUCUAACUCUGAUAUUCUGUAAGCGAAUCUAAUGAUGAAUAUAAUGUGUGUGUGGCUGUGUCAGAAUCGCUCCCUAUUCCAGAAAUAGUGCACUAUAUAGUGUAAAACCAUUUUUGCAGUACUGUUUAAAACCGCAGCAGUACAUUCUGUUCCCUAUAUAGUUCACUAUGAAAAACCUAAUGCAUCACAAAAUUUAGAAAUUCCAAAAUAUACUAUAAUGCAAUGCAGUGCUGUUGUAUUAGACGUCCUCAGAGCAGGACAAACAUGGUUUAUUGUUUGGUUGUUCCAUAAUUCGUUUAGUAAAUAGAAAAUGCUACAUAGUGAAAGAGUUAAUGAGUGAGCCAUUCUGAACACAGCUUCUGUCUUCAUGUGGUUUAGGCCUUUUCUAUUAUUAUUCUUUUUUAUUGAGACUGACUUCAGCUCAGUCUCAGCUGAAUGAGAUUUAAAGAAUACACAUAUCUAAUUUCUCUAGUGGUUCUCAUGUAUCUCAGUCUAUGCUGAUCUUUUGAUUCUCUUAAUGAGGAUAGUAGAUUUUAGAAACCAGUAAGAAAAGACCUUACUUUCUUUGGAAAGGUUUAAUUUGACAAACUUAAUAUUGUAUCUAUUACGAGCUACAGUGAAUUGGGUCUCUCUUUCUGACUUUUAAACAAGGAGACAUCAGAUGUUUUUUAAAAAAAAAAAAAAAAAAAAAAAAAUGGAGCUUUUUGUUUUGCUUUCCAUAUGUUUUCUAUUUCUCGCAAUGAAGAACUUGCUUGCAUAUUCUUGGCUAUAUUUUGAGUCCCCAUCAGAGCACAACAAUAUAAUGUUAAUGUUUAUACAAGUUUAGAAAUAUCAAGCAUCGUUUGGCUGGAAAUAAUUUUUGUUUUAGUUAUUUCAUGAGGCUAAACAAUUUUUAACCAUGUUAGAAUUCCUUUCAGGAUUUCUUUUUUAUUAUUAUUUUUUUUCUUUUAAGUUUUUUUUUUUUGGAGGGAUUUUUCUCUUUUGACUGAUUGUUGCUCAGUGCUGUUUUCUGGGUGUUUGAGAAGGCGGGGGUGGUGCUCAUCACAGGAGUUUUGACCCUCAGAGACAGGGUCCUCUGCAACAGUACUGUGAACAUCAUCUGAACCAGAGCACUUCAUGAGGAGAGUCUCAGAUGAGAGACUGUGUUUGGUCCAGCUGUCGGUCGAUGGCUGGACUGCGUCUUCACCGGACCUGCUGUGAUUGAAAUGUUACAGCACUGGUCCAGGAAACUGGUUUCAGAUCUGGAAGAACUGAGCGAUCAGAGACCGCUUCAGACAGCACCUGCUCAACCAUCAACACCACCCACCCCCAGCAGCCAAUCAGCCCAGUGGAUCCACCCCUCAGCCUGAGCCAGCAACAGAGACGAAUCAGGAAGGUCAGAGUGUUUUCAUCAACAGUGAGAGCUGUGAGGAGAAUGUGACCCUGAGUGGCAGAGAAGCUUCACUGCUGUUCUGCUGUUCUGGGACCAGUGCAUAUGAACUAGGAGACAACAAGUUAUCUGAGUGAAGUGCUGGAAACCUCUCCUCAGAUAGCCAGAAGAUCUUUCCAUCCACUCUUUUCCUCUGUUUCCUCUUCUCACAGACUUUAGGACACUUAAGGACUGUCUGCUGUGUUCAUGAAGGACACAGUGCUGAACAACAUCAUGAUAAGAAUCUGUUGCUCAGACAGGCUGGAGCUAAUCACGUCAUUAAAACUGGACAACAUGCUGUUAACUGGACUCUGCUGACGUAAUCAUAUUGAUAAGUUCUGUACAAUCACAUGUCAUUUGCAAAAUGUAUAACUGCUUGGAUGAAGUAUGAGGAAUUCUCUCUGGCCCUCGACUGGCUUUAGUUUAUUUCUUUCUUUCUCUCUCUCUCUCUCUCUCUCUCUCUCUCUCUCUCUCUCUUUUCUAAUAUAUAUCUAUUAAUUUUUGUUCCGCCAUAUGCAGAAGAAAGGCCAGUUCCUGCAAGUUACAGUAGAUACAAUAGAGUUAGAUACUGCAUUUGGGCUAGACCGUUUGUUUAAUGAAGGUAAAGAAAAUUAGCUGUAAAAAGAAAAUUUCAUUAUUGAUUCAGAAUCAAAGGGGGGAGUGUGAUGGAAGGUGUUUAUUGAAAUGAUUCAUAAUCAAUGACGUGUGAUGAUUCAUAAACAAUGACGACUAUUAAUGAUAUUACUUUUUGUUCUAUGCGAUGAUAAUGUGUACUGUGACCAUUCUACCCUCAGUGAGCUUUUUUGAAAUGCUGAGUAAGAGUUUUCUCUAUCUGGCUAUGUGUAUGUGUUAAGGAAUGCACGUCACAGUUGUUCUACAAAUUCUGGCGCCAGGGUCAUCUUCCUUUCUGCUUGCAAUGUUUUGAGAACCAGCCUGAUAUGCUCACUAAGGGAUUAUGUCAUAUCACAUGUCAGAAGAAGUUGACGUGUCACAAUGGUGGCACUGUGCCCAUAAUUGGGAAGUAAGGGAUGGGAGGAUCUAAAAGGUAUAAAGAGAGCUUGGCACCUCUUGCAAGGCAGGAGAUCACUCUGUAUUCACAUGUGUGUCUUCUCAAUAAAUCUUGUUACUCAUUCUGAUCAAGA